UGUGGGAGCGAGCCUGCUCGCGAAAGCGGUGUGCCAGUCAACAUACAUGUCGCUGGCAGAUUGCAUUCGCGAGCAGGCUCGCUCCCACA
rnacentral:antisense_RNA from 3 species